rnacentral:misc_RNA from 1 species
CACAGGUACAAACACACAUACAAAAGUUUGAGUUAUUCUUUGUCCCUCUUUCUAUUACAUCGGUUUCAUCCCUAUAAUAUCUUCAUUGCCACUUGCUAGUGUUAGUUCUAACUCCAAUAACCUAUUAGUACUGCUAGUUAUUCUGUAGAAGUACCAACAAGCGCCAAUGCCGUCUCCAUUGCGGCAGUGAGUGGAUGAAUUCACUACUACUACUAUUACUACUACUGCUGCUUCCAUUGGCGCUGCUGCCUUUGCUGCUGCUGCUCUCUCAAUUCCAACUCAAAACGUUGCUUUAAUUGUCAGCGCUGCUACCACGUUCCCUGGAUAAACUCAUACAGAUGUUUUGGUACUAACUAACAGCGAUCCUUCAAGGGCUAAAUGGUGUGAAGGCUCCAACUGAACCGGAUCUGUGAGACAUGAAAUGAGAGUCAAGCAUUGUUGGAAACAAAGCAGUUUCAUAGCAACCAUCACCACAGACUGUCAUAAUGAACAAAAGGGCUUCUUCCUACCUAGACGCAAUCUUUUCUCAUUUGAAGGAGAGACGAAAUAAAAUGUGUAAUUACAGUGAGAUAGAAUAAUUUCAAGUGCUUCUAUGUUCACACUUUAAUUGAAAAUCUAAAACAGAAAAGCUUAAAGAGACAAAAUGUUAUCCAGGCGUGACAUUGCGUAUCUUGAAGGAACAUCAUGAUUCCUUUUACUCUUGGAAAUGUAAUUGAUAUUAUGAGUGCAAAUCAACUAAAAUCUGUACUUAGCAAUUUUUUUUAUCACUUUGUUAUUUCAAGUUAAUGAAGUUGGUUACAGCAUAACUAUAAUAUCGUGGUGUUGAAAAAGAGAAUACCAAAAAACUGUGAAUUUACACACACACACACAAAUAUAUUCAUAAUUGGAUCGCUCUCUAAAAUGAUAAUAUCUUUUAGGCGUUUCUCAAUGUACAUGAUGAAUAUAACUUAAAUAUUACUUGUCAGAAGAAUUUACUUAUCUGAAUGGUAACGCUCAAUUGAAUGUACGAGUAAUAAAAGUAAUAAUAAUAAUAAUAAUAAUAAUAAUAAUAAUAUAAUAAUAAUAAUAAUAAUAAUAAUAAUAAUAAUAAUAACAACAACAACAACAAUAAUAAUUGUUCUUCAAGAAUUCCUGAAUAUUUCACUGCCAAUUCUUCUUAAUGAUGUCAUAACUUUCUUUCAAACGAAAAGACUUCGAAAGGAAAUGCUGUGACGGAAUUGAACGAAUAAUUCGAGAUAUUCAUUACAACGAAUUCACAUUAAAAGAAUAAAUAAACGUUUACAGUUUUUCAAUGGGAUGAAUAAAAUAAUGACUCUAAUAGGUAUCUUACCAUACAAAUAAACGUAAAGUGUACUAUGUGAGAUAAAGAAAUAGAACCAAACGAAAGUGGACGACUCGUUAGCAACUGUGUUGCUUAACUUUAUCCCAUACUAUUGAAUUAUGGUUUUCUAAAGGCAAUCUAGAAACAUGGAUGCAGGAUAAAGCAAAGGAACCUCAGGUCCUUUAAAGCGAGCGUUUUUCUCUGUUACCGUGACGGAAGGGAAAAGCAGGUGUGAAGAGUAUAACUCAGCGUUUCGGACGGUUUCUUCGGCUUCUUUGUAAUUCUCUCAAGCUGGCUACCUCUGCAGAAGAAUUAGCCGACAGUGGCUCCACUGGCGACGAAAGAAGUUCCACUCAGCGCAGCUAUGAACCGUAUGAGCUGCAGAUCUACUCAGAUUUGGGAACGGACCACGAUGACUCCAUCGAAAUCCUCUCGUGUCAACUGGAACCGGGAGAAUCGAUAUAUUACAAAAUGGAAAGCGGGACAACGACGAGGUGCAAGGAGGUAGUUAAACGCUUUGCCAAGAGAGAACCCACUAAGAAACAGAAGUUGAUCGCCCGUGUUGUCAUGAUCGUCUCCAUGACAAUGCUGACUGUUAGCGUUCUUUUGGUGAUUGUUUCCCUCACAAUGUCUGAACACAUCGAUGAUUUAGCUAGAAAAAUAACAACCCACAAAAUUCGAACGGGACUAUCUAGGGUUUCGACUUCAGAGAAUAUGACUUCGGCGAAAUCUGUUUAUGUGCACGAUAACAAGUCAGCCACAGAAGAGACGUUUAUAUAUACACAGAUGUCUACUGAUAUAGUUCUCAACACAACAGAGUAUCACAAAUUCAGUUAAGCUAGUCUACUAAUAAUAUGACUGUCGCCUGACGUAGCUUUCUAUUGAGAUAAUCUCUAUGGAAGAUGAAGUCUGGUGCAAAACACAAACAAGCGAAGCUAACCUUACAAAGAAACGGAAAAGACUGGAGAG